UACGGAGGAUGCAAGCGUUAUCCGGAUUGAUUGGGCGUAAAGCGUCCGUAGGUGGCUAAUCAAGUCUGCUGUCAAAGCGUGGAGCUUAACUCCAUAUCGGCGGUGGAAACUGAUGAGCUAGAGUGCGAUAGGGGUAGCAGGAAUUCCCAGUGUAGCGGUGAAAUGCGUAGAGAUUGGGAAGAACACCAGCGGCGAAAGCGUGCUACUGGGUCUGCACUGACACUGAGGGACGAAAGCUAGGGGAGCGAAAGGG
rnacentral:rRNA from 1 species